UACGUAGGGUCCAAGCGUUAUCCGGAAUUACUGGGCGUAAAGAGUUGCGUAGGUGGCAUAGUAAGUAGAUAGUGAAAGCGUGUGGCUCAACCAUACAUCCAUUAUCUAAACUGCUAAGCUUGAGGAUGAGAGAGGUAGAUGGAAUUCCUAAUGUAGGGGUAAUAUCCGUAGAUAUUAGGAGGAACACCGAUGGCGUAAGCAGUCUACUGGCUCAUUCCUGACACUAAGGCACGAAAGCGUGGGGAGCAAACGGG
rnacentral:rRNA from 1 species